AUGCAGGCAACAGUGGCCACCCACCAAAUCAGAUUGGACCGACUGGGUGUCUGGUUAGGCGCGCGAGCAGCCGCCAGCCGAGCGCCUCGUCUCGUGCCUCUCCCUCCUUCGAUUCCAAAUGAAUAUCCAUUCCCCAACCUAGCUGAACUGCUGAAGGCGAUGAUGGCAAGCAAUUGCAGGUCCGGCUCCGGCUCCGACGGCCGGCCCUCUCCGGCUGUCCCACUUUUUCUCAAUCCCUCCCCUCCCCCCCUCCCCUCCGGCCGGCUCUCUCGGCCUCUCCCUCCCCUGCCCUCGGCCUCCGGCCCUCCCCUCCAAGUCAGUUCGGAUAUUGAUCUGAUGUGCCCAUGGAACGGCAAUAAGCUCAAGUCAUGGCGCGAAUUUGGCGAGCCCUGA
rnacentral:rRNA from 1 species